rnacentral:rRNA from 1 species
AAACCUGCGAAUGGCUCAUUAUAUCAGUUAUAGUUUAUUUGAUGAAGAAUACUAAUUGGAUAACCGUAGUAAUUCUAGAGCUAAUACAUGUAUAAAGUCUUGUAGACUGCAUUUAUUAGAAUGAAAACCAUAGGUUUCGGCCUAUUCGUGAGUAAUAAUAACUAAUCAUAUCGUAUGCUUAAGUAACGAUGUGUCUUUCAAGUUUCUGCCCUAUCAGCUU